GGCAGCCGCAGGUCACGGGCUAGGCUGCCAAUGAGCACACCGGCAGGCAGCCCCUCAUUGAGGCUGUAGAAGAGUUCGGUGGCACGGCUGUAACUGGCAAAGCAGUUGAAAGGUCCAACGAAGAGCAGGAAGAGGAGCAAGUGCUGCAGGCUGCCGCGGGCGCUGGGGCUGCUGCAACCGCCCGGGGACCCCAUGCCAGGCCGCCGGCUGCGCCCGAGCCGCCCGCCCGCUCCGCCGCCCGCCCGGCGCCUCUCCUCCCCGCGGCAGCCCAUUCCCUCGC
rnacentral:lncRNA from 1 species